GGGAGGCAGCAGUGAGGAAUUGUUCGCAAUGGGCGCAAGCCUGACGACGCAACGCCGCGUGGAGGAUGAAGAUCUUCGGGUCGUAAACUCCUGUCGACCGGGACGAAACGUUCGGGGGUGAAUAGCCUCCGGAUUUGACGGUACCGGUGGAGGAAGCCCCGGCUAACUCCGUGCCAGCAGCCGCGGUAAUACGGGGGGGGCAAGCGUUGUUCGGAAUUACUGGGCGUAAAGGGCUCGUAGGCGGCUGCCUAAGUCGGACGUGAAAUCCCACGGCUCAACCGUGGAACUGCGUCCGGUACUGGGCGGCUUGAAUCCAAGAGAGGGAUGCGGAAUUCCAGGUGUAGCGGUGAAAUGCGUAGAUAUCUGGAGGAACACCGGUGGCGAAGGCGGCAUCCUGGAUUGGUAUUGACGCUGAGGAGCGAAAGCCAGGGGAGCAAACGGGAUUAGAUACCCUAGUAGUCC
rnacentral:rRNA from 1 species